rnacentral:tRNA from 1 species
GAUUAUUUAGUUUAUAUAAAAUAAAUGUUUUGAAAACAUUAGAAAAGAAAAUUAUCUUAAUAAUCG